rnacentral:rRNA from 1 species
AACGAACGCUGGCGGCAUGCCUAACACAUGCAAGUCGAACGAGACCUUCGGGUCUAGUGGCGCACGGGUGCGUAACGCGUGGGAAUCUACCCUUGGGUUCAGAAUAACAGUUAGAAAUGACUGCUAAUACCGGAUGAUGACGUAAGUCCAAAGAUUUAUCGCCCAAGGAUGAGCCCGCGUAAGAUUAGCUUGUUGGUGGGGUAAUGGCCUACCAAGGCGACGAUCUUUAGCUGGUCUGAGAGGAUGAUCAGCCACACUGGGACUGAGACACGGCCCAGACUCCUACGGGAGGCAGCAGUGGGGAAUAUUGGACAAUGGGCGAAAGCCUGAUCCAGCAAUGCCGCGUGAGUGAUGAAGGCCUUAGGGUUGUAAAGCUCUUUUACCAGGGAUGAUAACGACAGUACCUGGAGAAUAAGCUCCGGCUAACUCCGUGCCAGCAGCCGCCGUAA